ensembl:miRNA
UGAGUACCGCCAUGUCUGUUGGGAAUCCACAAUCUCCCACCAGGCAUUGUGGUCUCUGCU